AUACGUAGGGGGCGAGCGUUGUCCGGAAUGAUUGGGCGUAAAGGGCGCGUAGGCGGCGCGGUAAGUCUGGAGUGAAAGUCCUGCUUUCAAGGUGGGAAUUGCUUUGGAUACUGCCGCGCUUGAGUGCAGGAGAGGUUAUCGGAAUUCCCGGUGUAGCGGUGAAAUGCGUAGAGAUCGGGAGGAACACCAGUGGCGAAGGCGGGUAACUGGACUGCAACUGACGCUGAGGCGCGAAAGUGUGGGGAGCAAACAGGAUUAGAUACCCUGGUAGUCCACACUGUAAACGAUGAAUGCUAGGUGUAAGAGGUAUCGACCUCUUUUGUGCCGGAGUCAACACAAUAAGCAUUCCGCCUGGGGAGUACGGCCGCAAGGUUGAAACUCAAAGGAAUUGACGGGG
rnacentral:rRNA from 1 species